UGCCAGCAGCCGCGGUAAUACAGAGGGUGCAAGCGUUAAUCGGAAUUACUGGGCGUAAAGCGUGCGUAGUCGGUUAUCUAAGUCGGAUGUGAAAUCCCCGGGCUCAACCUGGGAAUUGCAUUCGAUACUGGAUAGCUAGAGUUCGGCAGAGGGAAGCGGAAUUUCGGGUGUAGCGGUGAAAUGCGUAGAUAUCCGAAGGAACAUCAGUGGCGAAAGCGGCUUCCUGGACCAGAACUGACGAUCAGGCACGAAAGCGUGGGGAGCAAACAGGAUUAGAUACCCUGGUAGUCCACGCCAUAAACGAUGACAACUAGACGUUGGGAGGGUAAGCCUCACAGUGUCGCAGCUAACGCGUUAAGUUGUCCGCCUGGGGAGUACGGCCGCAAGGUUGAAACUUAAAGGAAUUGGCGGGGG
rnacentral:rRNA from 1 species